GCAUAUCAAUAAGCGGAGGAAAAGAAACCAACAGGGAUUGCCCUAGUAACGGCGAGUGAAGCGGCAACAGCUCAAAUUUGAAAUCUGGCGCAAGCCCGAGUUGUAAUUUGUAGAGGAUGUUUCUGGCGAAGUGCCUUCCGAGUUCCCUGGAACGGGACGCCAUAGAGGGUGAGAGCCCCGUACGGUUGGAUGCCUAGCCUCUGUGAAACUCCUUCGACGAGUCGAGUAGUUUGGGAAUGCUGCUCUAAAUGGGAGGUAUACGUCUUCUAAAGCUAAAUACCGGCCAGAGACCGAUAGCGCACAAGUAGAGUGAUCGAAAGAUGAAAAGCACUUUGAAAAGAGGGUUAAAAAGUACGUGAAAUUGUUGAAAGGGAAGCGUUUAUGACCAGACUUGGGCAGGUUGAUCAUCCGUGGUUCUCCGCGGUGCACUCUGCCUGCCCAGGCCAGCAUCAGUUCGCCUUGGGGGAUAAAGGUUUCGGGAAUGUGGCUCCUCCGGGAGUGUUAUAGCCCGUUGCGUAAUACCCUGGGGCGGACUGAGGUUCGCGCUCCGCAAGGAUGCUGGCGUAAUGGUCAUCAACGACCCGUCUUGAAACACGGACC
rnacentral:rRNA from 1 species